AGAAAAAUACAUACAAUACAAGUAGAUAGAUCAUACAAAAGAGUUGAAACUAAGCUUUGGUUACUCUCUGAAUGACAAUAAUAUCCUUAUUUGCAUUGACUCUCUCACUUCCUCACAAGGCUAUGCUUUGGUUUUCAGGUAAUUUCAGGUAUGCAAGCAAUGUCCAAGCAAUGAGCUGUUACUUUUGACUAGUCUUCAUGAAAAUGAAGCUCUCACAUAUGGAUGAACAUAAACUGAUCACAAACUUUAGUAUAUAAAUAAGUGUUGCAUUUUAUUAAAAUUGGUUCAAGUUAUAGCCAUGGAUUUGUAUACAAUUAUUUUCCCAUUUCUCUUUGUUUUGAUUGGUUCUCAAGCAGCUGCGUAUGAUCAUUUGGAUCCAACUGGGAACAUUACAAUCAAAUGGGACGUGAUGGCAUGGACUCCAGAUGGUUAUGUAGCAGUGGUGACUAUGACAAACUAUCAAAAAUACAGGGAAAUAUCAAAAAUAAGAAUAUA